CAGAACGAACGCUGGCGGCAGGCUUAACACAUGCAAGUCGAACGCUCGUAGCAAUACGGGAGUGGCGGACGGGUGAGUAACGCGUGGGAACGUGCCCUGAGGUACGGAAUAACUGCGGGAAACUGCAGCUAAUACCGUAUGAGCCCCGUGAGGGGGAAAGAUUUAUCGCCUUAGGAUUGGCCCGCGUUGGGAUUAGGUAGUUGGUGGGGUAAUGGCCUACCAAGCCUACGAUCCAUAGCUGGUUUGAGAGGAUGAUCAGCAACACUGGGACUGAGACACGGCCCAGACUCCUACGGGAGGCAGCAGUGGGGAAUCUUAGACAAUGGGCGCAAGCCUGAUCUAGCCAUGCCGCGUGAGCGAUGAAGGCCUUAGGGUUGUAAAGCUCUUUCAGAUGGGAAGAUAAUGACGGUACCAUCAGAAGAAGCCCCGGCUAACUCCGUG
rnacentral:rRNA from 1 species